rnacentral:lncRNA from 1 species
CUUGAACUCCUGGCCUCAAGUGAUCCUCUGGCCUCAGCCUCCCAAAGUGCUAGGAUUACAGAUGUGAGCCGCUGUGACUGUCCUCUCUCUGUUCUAAACCACACUCUGAUUUGCAUCUGCUGCAGGCAGACACAGCAAACAGAGAAGGGUAGGCCCUCAGCCCGUCCAGCCUCCACCCAAACCCCCCAUCCUCCUAGCCUGGCUCAGGCCCCAUUCUCUGGGGUGCCUCCUCUCCUGCUUCCCCAAAUGGAAGGCCCCAACUUCUAAAGCCUCUGGCCAAACCCUAGACUGCCUUCUAGACUGCACAGCAGGAUAAUACCAGCCAUGGAGAGAGAAGUCUGGAUGCCCUUUCAAGGAGCCUACAGCCAAGCUGUGCCUGCUUCAAGCUGAGCCAACCAUGUCUUCAUGGGGAGAACGGAGGGAAACUUAUGUGGCACUGUCGCCCAAUCCAAGGAAGUGGAGAUGGAAGUCACGAGCCAGGUGGACGGGUGUUGGCAGCAGACUGCACUGGACUUAAGCCUGUGGGGAUUAGCUUGGAGCCUCACCUAAGACCUGGGGGCCACUAAGAAGGCAGAACUCCUAGCAACCCACCGCCAAGGCCGUAGAAGGGUGGAACAGACCUCCAGGUGCAAUUACUCCCAAACCCACGGAGAAGAGGAGGCCCUUUAGGGCGUAUUGGGCUGUGAAGUGAAGAGCCGGGCUCAGACCUCAGGCUCCAGGAGGAGGCAGAGUGAGAACUGUUUUCUGUAUAUACUCAGAAGUUUCCUGAGGUCUUAAGAGUAGCAAGGUGAGAAAGGGAAGGUGUUGCUAUCCUAUCUAGGUGUACAGAGAGACACACACACCAAGGAUGGAGACGGUUUAUUGUUAUACCAAAAAUAUAUGUAUAUAUCUAUAUAUAUAUGCAGAAAUAAAGGAUCAGAAGGCUAUAAA